ensembl:snRNA U6 U6 spliceosomal RNA
GUACUUGCUUCAGCAGCACAUAUACUAAAGCUGGAACAAUACAGAGAUGAGCAUGGCUCCUGCGCAAGAAUGACAGGUAAAUUUGUGAGGAUUCCAUAUUUUUA